GACAGAGGGUGCAAACGUUGUCCGGAAUUACUGGGCGUAAAGCGCGUGUAGGCAGCGACUGCAAGUCGGGUGUGAAAGCCCUGGGCUCAACCUAGGAAGUGCACUCGAAACUGCAGGGCUUGAGUUCUGGAGAGGAAGGCGGAAUUCUCGGUGUAGAGGUGAAAUUCGUAGAUAUCGAGAGGAACAUCGGUGGCGAAGGCGGCCUUCUGGACAGUGACUGACGCUGAGACGCGAAAGCGUGGGGAGCAAACAGG
rnacentral:rRNA from 1 species